rnacentral:rRNA from 1 species
CAGCCGCCGCGGGAAUACGUAGGGUGCGAGCGCUAAUCGGAAUUACUGGGCGUAAAGCGUGCGCAGGCGGUUGUGUAAGACAGGUGUGAAAUCCCCGGGCUUAACCUGGGAACUGCGCUUGUGACUGCACAGCUAGAGUAUGGCAGAGGGGGGUGGAAUUCCACGUGUAGCAGUGAAAUGCGUAGAGAUGUGGAGGAACACCGAUGGCGAAGGCAGCCCCCUGGGCCAAUACUGACGCUCAUGCACGAAAGCGUGGGGAGCAAACAGGAUUAGAGACCCCUGUAGUCCCUGUCUCUUAUAA